AUUGAACGCUGGCGGCAGGCCUAACACAUGCAAGUCGGACGGUAGCACAGAGAGCUUGCUCUCGGGUGACGAGUGGCGGACGGGUGAGUAAUGUCUGGGGAUCUGCCCGAUAGAGGGGGAUAACCACUGGAAACGGUGGCUAAUACCGCAUAACGUCGCAAGACCAAAGAGGGGGACCUUCGGGCCUCUCGCUAUCGGAUGAACCCAGAUGGGAUUAGGUAGUAGGCGGGGUAACGGCCCACCUAGGCGACGAUCCCUAGCUGGUCUGAGGGGAUGACCAGCCACACUGGAACUGAGACACGGGCCGUACUCCUACGGGAGGCAGCAGAGGGGAAUAUUGCACAAUGGGCGCAAGCCUGAUGCAGCCAUGCCGCGUGUAUGAAGAAGGCCUUCGGGUUGUAAAAUACUUUCAGCGGGGAGGAAGGCGAUGUGGUUAAUAACCGCGUCGAUUGACGUUACCCGCAGAAGAAGCACCGGCUAACUCCGUGCCAGCAGCCGCCGCGG
rnacentral:rRNA from 1 species